UGGGGAAUAUUGGACAAUGGGGGCAACCCUGAUCCAGCCAUGCCGCGUGUGUGAAGAAGGCCUUUUGGUUGUAAAGCACUUUAAGCAGGGAGGAGAGGCUAAUGGUUAAUACCCAUUAGAUUAGACGUUACCUGCAGAAUAAGCACCGGCUAACUCUGUGCCAGCAGCCGCGGUAAUACAGAGGGUGCGAGCGUUAAUCGGAAUUACUGGGCGUAAAGCGAGUGUAGGUGGCUCAUUAAGUCACAUGUGAAAUCCCCGGGCUUAACCUGGGAACUGCAUGUGAUACUGGUGGUGCUAGAAUAUGUGAGAGGGAAGUAGAAUUCCCAGGUGUAGCGGUGAAAUGCGUAGAGAUCUGGAGGAAUACCGAUGGCGAAGGCAGCUUCCUGGCAUAAUAUUGACACUGAGAUUCGAAAGCGUGGGUAGCAAACAGGAUUAGAUACCCUGGUGGUCCACGCCGUAAACGAUGUCUACUAGCCGUUGGGGUCCUUGAGACUUUAGUGGCGCAGUUAACGCGAUAAGUAGACCGCCUGGGGAGUACGGCCGCAAGGUUAAAACUCAAAGGAAUUGCGGGGUCUAGCUGUUUCC
rnacentral:rRNA from 1 species